rnacentral:snRNA from 1 species
UGGACUUCACUCUCUCCGU